rnacentral:rRNA from 1 species
AACGAACGCUGGCGGCGUGGAUAAGACAUGCAAGUCGAACGGGACCAGGUUGGUAGUAAUACUAGCUUGGUUCAGUGGCGCACGGGUGCGUAACACGUGAGCAAUCUGCCGGGAAGUGGGGGAUAGCUCGCCGAAAGGCGAAUUAAUACCGCAUGUGGCCAUUCUUCGAGUGGAGGAAAAGCCAAAGCAGCAAUGCGCUUCCUGAUGAGCUCGCGGCCUAUCAGCUAGAUGGCGGGGUAAUGGCCCACCAUGGCUUUGACGGGUAGCUGGUCUGAGAGGACGACCAGCCACACUGGAACUGAGAUACGGUCCAGACACCUACGGGUGGCUG